rnacentral:tRNA from 1 species
UUUAAUAAGGUGUUGAUGCAUGUUAUAUUUUGGUUGUAAAGGAGGUCAGUUGCCUAUUAUUU